UCCCAAAGCCCAUAUGAUUCCCCUGCAUCUCUGUUCUUAUGUUUCCUCAUGUGCAUAUCUAAUAGCAAAGAAAAACUGACAUCGACCUAUAGGGACGGGAGGAGUAAAGAAUGGAAGGCUUCCUGGAGGAGGAUGCAAUUGAGCUAGACGGGGAUAAACUCUGUUAGCAAGAUUUCCAAAGUCUGAGAUGACUAGAACCAAAGGAAAAGGCAUGUGCAAAGGACUACCUGGGGGAGUUAGGCAUUGAGGGAUGGACGUACAUGUAGAAAGACAAAAAUAUGAGCAAAGAUUUGAGUAAUUUAGCUGGACCUGGAGAUAUGGCAGUUUCUUCUACUCAUAGGCCUGAAGAGAGUGGACAGUCAACCUGUCAAUCAUUGCAGGCCCUCCAAUGAUGACGUUUGAGGGUGGGACCAUACAUAGAAAGGAGGUUGAAGAAGCCCUAGCACGUGACCAGGCGCGUAGCCAUUAAAAUCUGGAUUGUACAAUGCGGCUUCCGUGGACGGUUUUACUCAGGGAUUACGGAAAAUGGCGGUUACCUUUUCUACGAUCUCAAAAAAUGCUGCAUGAUUGGGUACCCUGGCCCCACCAACCACUUUCAGACAUUCCUCUGGAUAAGGGAAAGAGCAAGUUUGCCCCAUCCACUCAUCUUAUGAGUUUCCAAGUUACCUAAUUUUCCUGCAGUGGUGCUAAGCUGACCUCCCGCAGGUAAGUCUCUUUGUAGAUUUGUACACUCACUAACUCUUUCAGGAUCUGUGAUGGAGAAAUCCAGUUGUGGUCAGCCUACAGGCCUGUAAUGAGAGGAGAGGACGUAGACCCAGUAGUCAAGACCAGCCACAAGGGCCAGCAGAUAUCCUCAGAGAGUAUUGGGCAUCUCUUUGGAAAUCAACCUCUUUAAUUCUGCUGUGAUGACAGGAGGUUGCCCGGCAAUGCAGACUUUGCCUUGCUCUGAGCUGCGGUCUUUUGUGGUUCCCUUGGACAUCUUACGUUGAAGCCGAUGUGGCUCAGCAUCCAAGUUGGGGCUGCAGGGUGCUUGUUAACUGGCAGUGCCAGAACGUUCUCCUCUCUUCCCUUCCCUGUGCAAAGUUGCUUCAUUUCCGGGCACUGGUUAAUUUGUUGAAAAUCAGGCGAAGGCUUUUGACAGUUGGGCGGGAGAGUGUUACGUGUCAGUAUGAGUUACUCUAAGGUGCAUUCAAAGACGCCUCUGACCUUUAGUUUCAUAGAUCCCUCUGAUUCCUCGGUUGCUUUUUUAGCACUGGUUGCAUCCAGAAGGUGGCGUCACAGACCCUGAUGUGCACUCACCAAAGAUCCAAAACCCCACAUUUCUUUGUGAUUAGACACCUACGUUUGUACAAUGUGUCGACGUUUUAAAGACUUUGUAUUUAUCCCUGUAAUUGGUUAAAUUACUUUAAAGCCAUGGCAGAUCAAAACCUGAGGUCUGAGGUACUUAGAAAAACCUGUACCCAAACCCAUGUUCCUUCACCAGGUGACAUGAUAGUGACCAAGACUGGCUUAUUUGCUUGUCAAAAGCAGUUGUACAGCUUAACAACUGUGAUGCCUCCUUCCCCUUCCACACACACUUGUGCUCACUGCCCAUCAAAAUCAUCUUGGGUCAUUUCAUUGGGGGGAAGGACAGGGGAAGGUCUAAAUGAACGGUUUAUGGGUAAAUCUGUUGGGUACUGGUACUUAAAAAUAAGUCACAAGGUUGAGGAUUCCAAAAGGGUGACUCUCUAAUUGGUGGCAUUCUCAAAAUCAGGACUCUCAGGGCAAGAGAAGGUGACCCUUCUCAGAAUUUCAGGUGGGAUCCGGCUUGGCAGUUCUUCCCCAGGAGUCCGUUCCUGGGCCAGCCAUAUUACCUGCCUCGUGAGGCCUAGACUCAGUGAAUGUCUCCCUUGCAGCGGGAAUGUGAAUGCUCUAAAUUCAUGGUGUGAAGUAUUCCGUGUCAAACACUUGUUUGCCUUAAGUGUUCUUUCAUUCCUCUGAUUUGUGGGUGCUGGAAAGAGGAUGGAUAUUGAACACUUUAAGGUAAGGCCUUUGAAGUGGAGUGUAUUCCUUGUUAUACUGGUUUCCUGUUAUAUGUAAACUUUUUGGUGGCUGAAUAAUAUUUCAUUGUAUGUAUGCACCACAUUUUUAUUAUCCAUUUAUCUUGUUGAUGGAUGCUUGGGUUGCUUCCAUGUCUUAGCUAUUGUGACUAAUGCUGCAGUGAAUACCGGGGUGCAGGUAUCUCUUUGGGAUAGUGGCUUCAUUUCCUUUAUAUACAUACCCAGAUGUGGAAUGGCUGGAUCAUAUGGUAGUUCUAUUCCUAAUUUUUUAGCAGCCAUCGUACUGUUUUCUACAGUGACUCAACCAAUAUACUUGGGUGAGCCCAUCUUGCCCUAAAUGGAUUUCAUGGUUGGCUCUCCAGCCCCUUCUGAUUGUCUGUUCUUUUAAGGAGAAGAAGUAGAGAGGUUGGGGGCUCCUUUGAUCAGGAGCGAUGGAAAGACUGACUCGAUAUGGGCCUUCUUUGAGGUGCCUAAAGCCUAGGGAUGGGGAGGCUGGGAAGAGUGGCCCUCCCUUUGUAGAGCUGCUCUCAGAGCAUGGGGAGAAAGCAGACAGAAGGAUAUAGUUCCCUGUGUUAGACUUUAUGUGUUCGAGGGUGUCUUCUGCCCACUUCCCCGUUGCUGGCACUACUUAGGAUCAGCAUGGCUAGAAGACAAAAGACAACGUGGCACAUUGUUGAAUGUGACAUGAGAACGUAUGCCCAUCUGGCAAAGGUGAAAUUGUUAUGAUGGGGUCUGUUCCUUAUUUUUCCAGCUUCCCUGAGAAUUUGGGGCUUUACUCCUGGGGAAGGCUUUGUAGUUGCUGUCUUUCAUAUUGAUAGUGACAUGUGUUCUCACGGAGAGAUUUUUGAUGGUGAACUGCUGUUGCUGGCAUGCUCUUUAAUGCACUGGCCAGACACUUCUUCCCUCAGCAUCCCCAUGGUGCACAUGCCUUGUUCAAUUCCUACAGAAGGUGCGUGCUGGCUGGCAAUGGCGGUGCCUGGGGCAGGGCAAAUAUUGGGCCCCAGGGAGGAAAUUGGCCAUGGCCGGUUGUCGGGCUUCUCUGUUCUGACACAAAGGUAUUGAACAGAAUAAUGUCCACUGUGCAGAGCAAUGGCAUAUUAGGGAUCAUUAGGAAUCCCGAUUUUGUGUAUGGGAAUGUGGUUGGAAUUCUGUCCAAGCAUUUGCCUAGUAACUUUCCACACUCUUCUGCUGAGUAUACUCUGCCCAUUGGGGGGAAGACAAGCAGCGCGUGGCGCUGUCAAUGAACUAUGCGUGAGUCAGGGGACAUUUCGAUUCUCGUGGGCAUGUGCAGUUGAACCUGGAUGUCCAGGAACCUCCUGGGUCGGGUCUCCGGGUUGGAGGAUUAAGCCCUCCUAUUUCUUUUGCUGAGAAGGGCGUAUUCCCACAGGCUGCAGGCGUCCCUUCCCUUAUUUAUCUGCUACAAGGCGUGGCCGCUUGGUAGUCUGACCCCUGUGCCGAUUUUGAUCUCUUGAGAGGCGAUGACGUUGCCUUAAGGGGGUCUUACCUGCACUCUCAAGGAAGAGGGUGUUGCGGACACAUCAGUGUUGUACUAAAGCUACCGGAGAGGUGAGAGGAUAAGGGGGAGUUGCAGUCUGAGGAGGGGAAGGGUGUUAGGGUUUUCCCAUUUUAGGCUCUUGGUUUCUCUUGAUUAGGGAAAUUGGGCCCAGCACGGAUGUGAGUACACUCUGAGGGCUUAAGGAAACUUGACAGUGGGGAGGACAAGGGACUUGGCGUCAAAGUUGUGGUGGGCCUUGUGGGCUCAGGGGUGUGUAUCCUGCCUUUCUCGAGAGAAAAUCAUUUUCCAUUUUACGAAUGAAUGAUUUUGUCUGCGUGCGCCGGUUAUGCUGUCUCAUUUUAAUUCUGUAUUACCGUAGGCCUGUGAACAAAAGCCUCGGGGGGAGUUAGCCCCUCACCCUGCUCUCUCUUUGCCUGUCACAAUGACUUGAGCCCCUUCUAGGGGGGAACUGCUGUUGGCUUUUGCUGAUUUUGGUACCCCAGAGACAGUCUGUGUUGGCUCUGAGGCACUGUUUGUGGUGCCCAUCCCCCUCUCCGUUUUUCAGGACUGACUGUGCAGCUGAGCUUUCUCUGCUUCAACUGCUUAAGUUGUUCCCCUUUCGCCCCCUUCUCAGGCCCUGCAGGGUCCUUGUGGGCACAUUCCUGGCUUGCAAAAUUGGCCAGAGGCUUACCUAGCUUUUGAAAAAGAUUUGCCUACAGUGCAAAGAGACAGAGAACUCACAUUUGGAAGUUUUCUAAAGUCAGUGUUCUCAGAAAAGGGAAGGGGGAGGUCCUUUGCCCCUUUCAACAGGGAUCAUUUAAGUGUUAUUUCUUAUUUUAUUGGCCCUUGUGACACGCUACCAGGAGAAACCAGGUCCCCUGGAUAUCUGUGCCCUCCCCCCAACUGCUGAGUCCCGAGCCGGGGCCAGAGUUCGUUAGGCCUGCGCGGAGAAUGCCCCCAAGAGCAUGUGGUGUCAAGGGCACCCGAGGGGGGCUCCUAAGUGCGAGCAACUGCUUCUUCUGCCACCUGCUCGUGCUUUUACCCCCGCCUGUGUUCUCAGGGGGAGCACUCUCCGGUCCAGAGCCCAGUGCGGCGGGGACUGAACCUGCAGACCUUGUUUCAGGCAGGCUUAAGUUGAUAUGCUGAUGUCAGCCGUCCACUGGCAUGUUGAGCUCUACUGCGCCUCCCCUCCCCUCCCUUUCUGGAGUGCCCUGAGGAGCAGAGGAGUGAUCUGUCUGUCUUGUGAUACACAGGACCUGACGGAGUACUUGGUCGGAGGGGAGGACUCGGGUCCCCUGUCAGGGAGCUUUCGUGUGGAGGCCUCUCGCAAUGGCCCACGUGCACACCUGCGCACGCUGGGACCAUUGAAGUGAUGGCCUCUAGGCCCCUCUGGGUUUGAGUUUGCCCCUCUGCCCACCCCCCUGACGCCGGGAGUGCAGCGUCUCGAUUGGGCUGCUGCCAAGCAGGCCGCCCAGAGCUUCCCUCAUCUCUUACUCGGAUGCAGACCUACUGUACCUCUUCUUACCGGCUUCGGAAAAGAACGGCAGUGGCUGCGUUCGGGCCUCAUGGCCUCAGCCUCCCCCAGUAGUCAGACACAGCAGCCUUCCAGAAUGCUGAACGGCCCGUUGUCGAUGCCAGUCUUCUGUCUGCUUAAAAGUUCUAGGUUGUGCCCUUGGGGCGCUGCCCCACAGGAUGUGGGAUAUGGUUAAAGGCAGGACCAAGACCCCAGGCUUCUCCUCCAGAGCUCAGAGGAGACGCAUACGGAAACAUGCGCUAGGAGGGUAGGUCGUCUACCUUCUGUCAUCUUCUUAUUCCAAAAAAGUAAUACUAAUUACUGAGGCUGGGAUGGAUACGUUUACGGCAUGGGUUAUGGUGACGGUGCAUGUAUGUGUUCCGAUGUCUGAACUCAUUAAGUUGUAUACACUGACUAUAUACAGCUUGUUGUAUGUCAAUCAUAUACUUUCAAACCUCAAUAAAGUGGUUUUAAAAAAGAACGAAGAAAGGGGUGCCUGGGUGGCUCAGUUGGUUAUGUAUUCAACUCUUGAUCUUAGCUCAGGUCUUGAUCUCAGGGUUGUGAGUCCAAGCCCUGUGUUGGGCUCCUGGAGCCUACUUAAAAUAAAAGAAAUAAAAAAAACCCUCCCAUGAUUACAGAUGAAUGCUCCCCUCAAAUGUUUUAAGUUUUGAAAACUGAAGGGGAAAGAAGUUUCUGUACAGGGAAAUGGGAAAUGACUGCUUCUUGAUUAUUCUUUUGUCUGUAUUGUUCCAUUUACAUGUGGGAUUUGCACUGGUGAUGUAUGAGGAUAACCUUUAGUCCAUAGGAUUUUACAUUUCAGUGAAUCACAGCCGUUGGACAGAAGCCGUGAACUUCACCUGGAGGACUUGGACUCAAGGAACAGCCCUGGGCCAUCAGCUUUUUGUCAUAUGACCAGAAAUUGACUUUGGGUUAAUGUGACUUUGGGAUUGACCUGGAUUUGGGGUUGUUUUCAUGGUUUACACUUGUGCUUUUGUGCUUAUGCAAGAAAUCUUUCAAAACAUUUUGUAUAUGAGAACAUGUCAAAAUGUGUACGCGUACUGUAUUUGUAUUGUGCAGGGUGGAGGGCAGUAGUCUCAGGCUGCUGGGUCUCCCCAGUAGGCGCUUUUCUUGGAGCCUGUCCCACACCCUUAUACACUGUGUGACUGAGUUCCCUGGCCAUGGCUACUUGGUUUCAUACGUUUCACCUUACCAGAGUUGAGCCAAUGAUACUUUAGUUAUAUUUAGAGUUUGGGACUAGGCCCCAAGAAUGAGUGAUAUCUCAUUCUUGGGAGCACCUGGCUGGCUCUGUCGGUAGAACAUGUGACUCUUUAUCUCAGGGGUCAUUAAGUUCGAGCCCCACGUUGGGUGUAGAGAUUACUUAAAAUCUUUAAAAAAAAAAAAGAAUGGGUGAUAUCUUGAAAAGGUCAUUCGUAUUCUUUCACUGCUGAGAAUAUAAUUAGAAGGCAUACUGUUGAGUUUCCCUGAGCUAUCCUCAUUUCUGUCUUUAAAAUGUUUUUGUUGCUUAAGGUUCUUGCACUCUGUAGAAUACUUGUGUUCUUUCAAUAAAAUGUAUUUGCUUC